CAUUUUUAAUCCAGGGACCCCGCCGCGGUGCCAGGGGACUGCGAAAUUUUCCAGUGAGGGCCUGGGCAGAGGCGCCAAUGAGAAGGGAAGGUUGUUAGGGCAGCUGACGUGGGUGACGUCUCUGAGCGGCGCCAGCUGAGCGCGGUGGAACCAAGCCGUCCUUCCUUCUCGGAGGCUGGCUUGUUCCCCCGGCGUCUGUGGACCCCGUUUAGCUGUUCCUGGUGAGCGCAGUACACCGGUACCUCCACUGCCUUGGCCAGUAGCCUGAGGACGCCCUCUUUCAGCUCCUGCUCUUCCUCCUCCACAGACACAGACGACGAGGGAGUGCCCGGCACUUGGGAAGAUGCUUCUCUGUGCAGAGGCCUGGGGAGAGCGUGACUGGGAAUCCGGCCUGAACCAGGCAGACGGGGUCUUGGCCUCCUUGAGGCUAAAGUCUUUAUGGAAGACCGAGGAGAAGCAAGUUCCUGGAGACUAAGCAUAGUGAUUUAAAACAUGGAGUCCAGAGCGAAGCUGAUCGUAGCUCUGCCCCUUAUGAGCUGUGUUCCUAAACCGUUCUGGGUCUCAGUUUCCUGAUGUGAGAAAUGGGGAUGAUAAUAAUCCCACUUCAUAGAUCAUUGUAAAGAUUAAAUGUUACUUA